rnacentral:rRNA from 1 species
AACGAACGCUGGCGGCAGGCUUAACACAUGCAAGUCGAACGCACCUUUCGGGGUGAGUGGCAGACGGGUGAGUAACGCGUGGGAACGUGCCCUUCAGUUCGGAAUAACCCAGGGAAACUUGGGCUAAUACCGGAUACGUGCGAGAGCAGAAAGAUUUAUCGCUGAAGGAUCGGCCCGCGUCUGAUUAGCUAGUUGGUGAGGUAAUGGCUCACCAAGGCGACGAUCAGUAGCUGGUCUGAGAGGAUGAUCAGCCACAUUGGGACUGAGACACGGCCCAAACUCCUACGGGAGGCAGCAGUGGGGAAUAUUGGACAAUGGGCGCAAGCCUGAUCCAGCCAUGCCGCGUGAGUGAUGAAGGCCUUAGGGUUGUAAAGCUCUUUCGUCCGGGACGAUAAUGACGGUACCGGAAGAAGAAGCCCCGGCUAACUUCGUGCCAGCCGCCGCGGUAACAC